rnacentral:rRNA from 1 species
UACGAGGGGAGCAAGCGUUGUUCGGAUUUACUGGGCGUAAAGGGCGCGUAGGCGGCGUGACUAGUCACUUGUGAAAUCUCCGGGCUUAACUCGGAACGGUCAAGUGAUACUGUCGUGCUAGAGUACAGAAGGGGCAACUGGAAUUCUCGGUGUAGCGGUGAAAUGCGUAGAUAUCGAGAGGAACACCUGCGGCGAAGGCGGGUUGCUGGGCUGAUACUGACGCUGAGGCGCGAAAGCCAGGGGAGCGAACGGG